rnacentral:rRNA from 1 species
CAGCCGCCACGGUAAUACGAAGGGGGCUAGCGUUGUUCGGAUUUACUGGGCGUAAAGGGCGCGUAGGCGGACUGAUAAGUCAGGGGUGAAAUCCCAAGGCUCAACCUUGGAACUGCCUUUGAUACUGUUUGUCUUGAGUUCGAGAGAGGUAAGUGGAACUGCGAGUGUAGAGGUGAAAUUCGUAGAUAUUCGCAAGAACACCAGUGGCGAAGGCGGCUUACUGGCUCGAAACUGACGCUGAGGCGCGAAAGCGGGGGGAGCAAACAGGAUUAGAUACCCGUGUAGUCCCUGUCUUUAUACA